rnacentral:rRNA from 1 species
CCUGUUUAACAAAAACAUGUCUUUUUGAGUUAUUUUUAAAGUCUGACCUGCCCACUGAAAUUUUUAAAUGGCCGCAGUAUUCUAACUGUGCAAAGGUAGCAUAAUCAUUAGUCUUUUAAUUGAAGGCUGGUAUGAAUGGUUGGACGAGGUAUAAGCUGUUUCAUACAAAUUUAUAAUAGAAUUUUAUAUUUUAGUCAAAAAGCUAAAAUUUAAUUAAAAGACGAGAAGACCCUAUAAAUCUUUAUACUUUACGUUGUUUAAAUUUUUUAGAUUGGUUUUAUUUUUAUAGUUUAAAGUAUUUUGUUGGGGUGAUGUUAAAAUUUAAUGAACUUUUAAUUAUUAAAAAUCAUUAAUUUAUGAUUUAUUGAUCCAUUAGUAGUGAUUAUAAGAUUAAGUUACUUUAGGGAUAACAGCGUAAUUUUUUUGGAGAGUUCAUAUCGAUAAAAAAGUUUGCGACCUCGAUGUUGGAUUAAGAUAUAUUUUUAGGUGUAGCCGCUUAAAU